UGGUGAUAUGUUCUUGUUUUGGAGAA
rnacentral:piRNA from 1 species